rnacentral:rRNA from 1 species
GAUGAACGCUGGCGGCGUGCCUAAUACAUGCAAGUCGAGCGAACGGACGAGAAGCUUGCUUCUCUGAUGUUAGCGGCGGACGGGUGAGUAACACGUGGAUAACCUACCUAUAAGACUGGGAUAACUUCGGGAAACCGGAGCUAAUACCGGAUAAUAUUUUGAACCGCAUGGUUCAAAAGUGAAAGACGGUCUUGCUGUCACUUAUAGAUGGAUCCGCGCUGCAUUAGCUAGUUGGUAAGGUAACGGCUUACCAAGGCAACGAUGCAUAGCCGACCUGAGAGGGUGAUCGGCCACACUGGAACUGAGACACGGUCCAGACUCCUACGGGAGGCAGCAGUAGGGAAUCUUCCGCAAUGGACGAGAGCCUGACGGAGCAACGCCGCGUGAGUGAUGAAGGUCUUCGGAUCGUAAAACUCUGUUAUUAGGGAAGAACAUAUGUGUAAGUAACUGUGCACAUCUUGACGGUACCUAAUCAGAAAGCCACGGCUAACUACGUG